AUUGCAAUGUGUUCAGUCAUUUUAUCACAAUUAUAUUCUCUCAGUCAUUUCGUGCAUUAAUACUCAAACUCAAACCUAGAUCUCUUAUAGGCCAUCAUAGCUCACGACGCAGAUCUUCAAAGAAAAUGUGAAAACUUCUUCUAUAUAUUAGAAGAACGAUGGGGAACUGCCAUAUCAGCAUUGGCUCGAAAAUAUGCUGAACCUGCGUAUCAGGAAAGGCUUGAAAUGCCUUCAACCGAGGAUGUAAACAAGUUUGACCAGUUUCUCAAGCAAGAAGUACAGCAGGCGCUUCAGG